rnacentral:rRNA from 1 species
UACGGAGGAGGCAAGCGUUAUCCGGAAUUAUUGGGCGUAAAGCGUCCGUAGGUGGCUAGUCAAGUCUGCGGUCAAAGACUGAGGCUUAACCUCAUCAAGGCAGUGGAAACUACAUAGCUAGAGUACGGUCGGGGUAGAAGGAAUUCCUGGUGUAGCGGUGAAAUGCGUAGAGAUCAGGAAGAACACCGGUGGCGAAAGCGUUCUGCUAGACCUGUACUGACACUGAGGGACGAAAGCUAGGGGAGCGAAUGGG